rnacentral:rRNA from 1 species
CAGCAGCCGCGGUAAGACAUAAGGUGCGAGCGUUAUCCGGAAUCACUGGGCGUAAAGGGCAUCUAGGCGGUUUAUUAAGUCAGAGGUGAAAAGCCGAAGCUCAACUUUGGUCUUGCCUUUGAAACUGAUAGACUAGAAUACGGGAUAGGAGGGCGGAACUACAAGUGUAGAGGUGAAAUUCGUAGAUAUUUGUAGGAAUGCCGAUGACGAAGGUAGCUCUCUGGACCGAUAUUGACGCUGAAGUGCGAAAGCUAGGGUAGCAAACAGGAUUAGAUACCCUGGUAGUCCUAGCUGUAAACGAUGAUUACUGGGUGUGGGGGGUCGAACCUCUGUGCCGAAGCUAACGCGAUAAGUAAUCCGCCUGGGGAGUACGGUCGCAAGACUGAAACUCAAAGGAAUUGACGGGGACCCGCACAAGCGGUGGAGCAUGUGGUUUAAUUCGACGCAACGCGAGGAACCUUACCAGGUCUUGACAUCGUACAAAUCUUUUAGAGAUAGAAGAGUGCCGGCUUGCCGGAAUGUAUAGACAGGAGGUGCAUGGCC